rnacentral:RNase_P_RNA from 1 species
CUUUGGGGCCUGGUUGUCGCUCCGAGUUCUUUGACCCAAGGCGCGGGUAACGCCGCGCCCGAUAGAAGUUCGGAGAGGAAAGUCCGGACACCGCAGGGCAGGAUGCCGCGCAAGCUUCACCGCAAGCGCGGGCGGCGCGCGUCAAGGCGCGUCGACGGACAGUGUCACAGAAAACAAACUGCCCGGUGCGACUCGCCGCAAGGCGGCUCGCUCAGGGUGAGGGUGAAAAGGUGGAGUAAGAGCCCACCGCGCCGACGGCAACGUCGGCGGCACGAAAAACCCCGUCUGGUGCAAGGCAAAAUAGGUGACUGGGCGGCCCGCCCAAUAGUCACGGGUAUGCUGCAGCUUUCUGCACGUUGCCAGUUCGGCGAAAGCCGGACGAAGCAGCGCGACGAAGGCCAGGCCCGUCGCGAGACGGCUUGAGAGAAAUGACGACCGAAGCACCGCAAGGUGCGGAACAGAAUCCGGCUUACCGGCCCCAAAGCCAA